rnacentral:rRNA from 1 species
GUGGGGAAUUUUGGACAAUGGGGGCAACCCUGAUCCAGCCAUGCCGCGUGAGUGAAGAAGGCCUUCGGGUUGUAAAGCUCUUUCGGUGGGGAAGAAAUCGCGCUCGUUAAUAGCGGGCGUGGAUGACGGUACCCGCACAAGAAGCACCGGCUAACUACGUGCCAGCAGCCGCGGUAAUACGUAGGGUGCGAGCGUUAAUCGGAAUUACUGGGCGUAAAGCGUGCGCAGGUGGUUUUUUAAGACAGGCGUGAAAUCCCCGGGCUCAACCUGGGAAGGUCGCUUGUGACUGGAAGGCUGGAGUACGGCAGAGGGGGGUAGAAUUCCACGUGUAGCAGUGAAAUGCGUAGAGAUGUGGAGGAAUACCGAUGGCGAAGGCAGCCCCCUGGGCCGAUACUGACGCUCAUGCACGAAAGCGUGGGGAGCAAACAGGAUUAGAAACCCCGGUAGUCC